rnacentral:rRNA from 1 species
UUUUAAAAAUUAGAUUGUUUCUCGGUUGGGGAUCGUUAUUUUGGUUUUGGUAGUCUUGAAUGAAUUUAUUAAUUGCUAUAGAAUAUUGUAUUGUUAAAGAUUUUUGAAAAAGUGAAAAAAAAUUUAGGUGAAAGUUAUAGUUUGUACCUUUUGUAUUAGGGGUUAACUAGAGAAAAUAAAUAUUUAUUUGUCCCGAAAUGCUUUGAGCUACCAAUUAGAGGUGUUAUUGUUGUAUAAAUAUUAUUAAUACUUGGUAGAAAUGAAAUUUUUUUCGAAAAGUUUGAUAUCUGGUUAGGUGCGGAAAAUUAAAUAUUUUAAAUAAUUUACUUUUUUGUAAAAAGUUAUUGAUUUUCUUUUUAGGGAUAAGCUUAAGAAGAGUAUAUAAAGUGUAUAACAGGUUGCUGUAGGUUUAGAAGUUACUGACUAUUUGUAGUAAAAUAGCUGGUGUUAGGGAGGUUGUUAUGAGAGUUGUUCUAAUUAAUUGAUAUUAGAAGAGUUUAUGUUAAUAUUAGUAUAAUUUUGGGGGAAGUGUUGUAAUUUAAUUUUCAGGUAAAUGGAGUUAUUAAAUUAAGAGGAAUUCAGCAAAUUAAAUUUUCGAAUGUUUAACAAAAACAUUGUAUUUUGGGAAAAUAAAAUAUAGGACCUGCUCAAUGUUAUUAAAUUGCUGUGGUAUUUUGACUAUACGAAGGUAUUGAAAUAAGAUUUUAAUUGGGUGCUAAGAGAAUGGUUUAACGGAGAUUGACUUUCUUUUUAUUUAAAUUGGAAGUUGAUUUGAAAAUGAAAAAGUUUUUAUGAGUUUUUGGGACAAGAAGACCCUGUGAAUUUUUUCUUAAGAAAUUUUUUAUAGAUUAGUUAUAAGAAAUCGAAAGGAGAUUUUAAGUUGGUUGGGGUGAUUUUUAAAGAAUAUUUAUCUUUAAUUUUUGGUGGAAUUUGACCCAAAAGUUUUGACUUAAUGGAAAAAAUACUCCAGGGUUAACAGCGUUAUUAUUUUGGAUAGUUCAUAUAGAUAAAAUAGUUUGCGACCUCGAUGUUGGAUUAGGAUACUUUCGUGGCGCAGAAGUUACGUGAAGGAGUUUGCUCAACUCUUUAAAUCUUACAUGAUCUGAGUUCAGACCGGCGAGAGCCAGGUUGGUUUCUAUCUAAAUGUAGAAUGUGAGUUUCUUUAGUACGAAAGGAAUGGAAGCUUAAAUUAUUUAAGUUAAGUAUUUAAGGGAGAG